UACGUAGGGUGCGAGCGUUGUCCGGAAUUAUUGGGCGUAAAGGGCUCGUAGGCGGUUUGUCGCGUCGGGAGUGAAAACCUCGGGCUUAACUCGGGGCUUGCUUUCGAUACGGGCAGACUGGAGGUAUGCAGGGGAGAACGGAAUUCCUGGUGUAGCGGUGAAAUGCGCAGAUAUCAGGAGGAACACCGAUGGCGAAGGCAGUUCUCUGGGCCGUAACUGACGCUGAGGAGCGAAAGCGUGGGGAGCGAACAGG
rnacentral:rRNA from 1 species